rnacentral:rRNA from 1 species
CAGCAGCCACGGUAAUACGAAGGGGGCUAGCGUUGCUCGGAAUGACUGGGCGUAAAGGGCACGUAGGCGGCGAUCAAAGUCAGGCGUGAAAUUCCUGGGCUCAACCUGGGGGCUGCGUUUGAUACUUGAUUGCUAGAGUGGGGAAGAGGGUCGUGGAAUUCCCAGUGUAGAGGUGAAAUUCGUAGAUAUUGGGAAGAACACCGGUGGCGAAGGCGGCUCACUGGACGCGUAUUGACGCUGAGGUGCGAAAGCGUGGGGAGCAAACAGGAUUAGAUACCCCAGUAGUCCCUGUCUCUUAUAC